GAUGAACGCUGGCGGCGUGCCUAAUACAUGCAAGUCGAGCGAACAGAUGAGGAGCUUGCUCCUCUGACGUUAGCGGCGGACGGGUGAGUAACACGUGGAUAACCUACCUAUAAGACUGGGAUAACUUCGGGAAACCGGAGCUAAUACCGGAUAAUAUAUUGAACCGCAUGGUUCAAUAGUGAAAGACGGUUUUGCUGUCACUUAUAGAUGGAUCCCGCCGCAUUAGCUAGUUGGUAAGGUAACGGCUUACCAAGGCAACGAUGCGUAGCCGACCUGAGAGGGUGAUCGGCCACACUGGAACUGAGACACGGUCCAGACUCCUACGGGAGGCAGCAGUAGGGAAUCUUCCGCAAUGGGCGAAAGCCUGACGGAGCAACGCCGCGUGAGUGAUGAAGGUCUUCGGAUCGUAAAACUCUGUUAUUAGGGAAGAACAAAUGUGUAAGUAACUAUGCACGUCUUGACGGUACCUAAUCAGAAAGCCACGGCUAACUACGUG
rnacentral:rRNA from 1 species